rnacentral:rRNA from 1 species
AUAUUGGACAAUGGGGGCAACCCUGAUCCAGCCAUGCCGCGUGUGUGAAGAAGGUCUUNGGAUUGNANAGCACUUUAAGUUGGGANGAAGGGCUUUAGGUUAAUACCCUGAAGUUUUGACGUUACCAACAGAAUAAGCACCGUCUAACUCUUGGCCAGCAGCCGCGGUAAUACAGAGGGUGAAAGCGUGAAUCGGAAUUACUGGGCGUAAGGCACGCGUAGGUGGUUCAGUAAGUUGGGUGUGAAAUCCCCGGGCUUAACCUGGGAACUGCUUUCAUAACUGCUGAGCUAGAGUACGGUAGAGGGUAGUGGAAUUUCCUGUGUAGCGGUGAAAUGCGUAGAUAUAGGAAGGAACACCAGUGGCGAAGGCGACUACCUGGACUGAUACUGACACUGAGGCUCGAAAGCGUGGGGAGCAAACA